GGUCCGGAAGCCGGUCCUGCCAACAGUGUCGGAAUUCAAAUCCGGAAGCGCCUACGCGAAGCUCAAGUUGCGGGGAGUCUGAAAGUACAAGAGUUUUGGCCGGAAAGUGGCCGGAAAGUCGCUGCUCACGCGACACUUCCCAAGGCUGCCGGCAAGGAUUUUCCGACGGAGGAGGGUUGCUUCCGGGGUUUUUGGGGAUGGGGAG
rnacentral:lncRNA from 1 species